UUAAAAACCGUGAAAAAGGAAAGUAUCAUAAAGGAAGUUUACAGAGAGAAAAGAUUGCUGAGAACUUUUCAUCAAGAAUUUAUGUGAAGUGCCCUUUGGAGUUGAAGUCUGAAUACUAGUAGGAUUUUUCGGGUUCACCCGUUAUAGCGAUAGGACAUUUUUUAGUGUCUAAAUGAGUGGGAUUAAUAUUUAAUUAAUUCAAUUAGAGUGGGAACGCGAAAUUUUACUUCGUCUCUAUA
rnacentral:ncRNA from 1 species